GUCUGAACCUCAGUAGAGCCGUGUUCGCAGCUAAUCAAGCUAGCCAGAAGUGGAAACAGACAUUUCAGGUUCUUCUCAAAUGAUGCCUCUUCCAAUGUACAAAUUGCUUGAAGUGUUGCAACUAUCAGAGGAGCUCUUGCUGCUAACUCCCUUCGUUUUCCUGAUCCCAGAGGUAUUCUCCAUCGGUACUCGCUAGCUCGUGAUGAUUCUGAUUGUUGUUUUUUCACAGAAGAAGAAGUCUCGAUGUAGAAGUUGAGAACUUCUUGACAGAUUUUAACUAGAAACGAUUCUAUUUCCUCUUCUUCUUCUGAUUCUCUGUUUUUGUCUGUAACGAGAUUCUGUAAGAAUGUGAGGCAGAUUUGGUAAGACUCGUUUUCCAGACGAAGAAGUGGAGGAUCUUGCAUCUGUGUCAUGGGUCCUAGUUCUUGUAGUCUUGAACGGAG
rnacentral:lncRNA from 1 species